rnacentral:rRNA from 1 species
AUACGGAGGGUGCAAGCAUUAAUCGGAUUUAUUGGGCGUAAAGAGUGCGUAGGUGGGCUAGUCAGCCAGACGUGAAAGCCCGGAGCUCAACUCCGGAACUGCAUUUGAAACUACUAGCCUUGAGGAUAGGCGGAGAAGACGGAAUUCCACGUGUAGCGGUGAAAUGCGUAGAUAUGUGGAGGAACACCGGUGGCGAAGGCGGUCUUCUAGCUUAUUCCUGACACUGAGGCACGAAAGCAAGGGGAGCAAACAGGAUUAGAAACCCCAGUAGUCC